UACGAAGGAUGCGAGCGUUAUCCGGAUUUAUUGGGUUUAAAGGGUGCGUAGGCGGAUCGUUAAGUCAGUGGUCAAAUUGAGGGGCUCAACCCCUUCCCGCCAUUGAAACUGGCGAUCUUGAGUGGAAGAGAAGUAUGCGGAAUGCGUGGUGUAGCGGUGAAAUGCAUAGAUAUCACGCAGAACCCCGAUUGCGAAGGCAGCAUGCCGGCUUCCGACUGACGCUGAAGCACGAAGGCGUGGGGAUCGAACAGG
rnacentral:rRNA from 1 species